rnacentral:lncRNA from 1 species
AAACUAGUUGUGAAUUUUUAAACAUUGGACAAAAAUGUUAUAAUACUAAUUAUUGAAAUAUGAAUUUCAUUUAUUUACUGGCUGGAUUCUGAACCAAUUUCCGUUAAAACUAUUAAGAAUUGAAGUUAAAUAUAAAAUUUCUCUUACACUACAAUUUGCAAAUAUUUUAGUAUUACUGCAGUUCCUAAAAGCAAUUGUGUACAUAUCAGUCUGUUAAAAUACCCUCCUAGAGUUUUGCCCCUUUAUAUCUAGGUAAAUUGCUUUUUCAUUUUUGAGUAUGUCCCCUUCUUAAGUCCCCCCUCCAACCAAAUUUUAGAGUUAUGUCCUUUUUAACUUUGAAAAUUGCAGAGCUUGAGCGGGGGAAUUUGUGUCCUCCUACAUAUUAUUCUUUAUUUAUUUAAAUUUCUGAAAAGUUGCAUACUAGCUGUACCAAUAAUAAAAUUACAUUUAUUGUUCUUUAAAUAAUAAUAAAAAAUAUUGUCUAUUAUUGCUUUGAUUAACAUUAACA